ACAAUGUGGCAUCACAAAGAUCAAAUAUUUAUAGGACAAAGAUGGGCAUGCGGAACAUUAGCUAGUUGGUAAGGUAGGCUUACCAAGGCUACGAUGUUUAGGGGAUCUGAGAGGAUGACCCCCCACACUGGUACAGACACGGACCAGACUCCUACGGGAGGCAGCAGUAAGGAAUAUUGGUCAAUGGACGGAUCUGAACCAGCCAUGCCGCGUGCAGGAAGACGGCCCUAUGGGUUGUAAACUGCUUUUGGGGGAAUAAACCCCCGUAUGUAUACGGGGCUGAAUGUACUCUGAGAAUAAGGAUCGGCACUCCGUGCCAGCAGCCGCGGUAAUACGGAGGAUCCGAGCGUUAUCCGGAUUUAUUGGUUAAAGGGUGCGUAGGUGGCUUUUUAAGUCAGGGGUGAAAGACGGUAGCUUAACUAUCAGUGCCUUUGAUACUGAAGAGCUUGAAUACACUAGAGGUAGGCGGAAUGUGACAAGUAGGUGAAAUGCAUAGAUAUGUCACAGAACACCAAUUGCGAAGGCAGCUUACUAUGGUGCUUGACACUGAGGCACGAAAGCGUGGGGAUCAAACAGGAUUAGAUACCCUGGUAGUCCACCCUAAACGAUGAAUACUCGAUGUUGUCGAUAUACGGUCAGCGUCUAAGCGAAAGCGU
rnacentral:rRNA from 1 species